GAUGAACGCUGGCGGCGUGCUUAACACAUGCAAGUCGAACGAAGCACCUUGAUUUGAUUCUUCGGAUGAAGAUCUUGGUGACUGAGUGGCGGACGGGUGAGUAACGCGUGGGUAACCUGCCUCAUACAGGGGGAUAACAGUUAGAAAUGACUGCUAAUACCGCAUAAGACCACAGCACCGCAUGGUGCAGGGGUAAAAACUCCGGUGGUAUGAGAUGGACCCGCGUCUGAUUAGGUAGUUGGUGGGGUAACGGCCUACCAAGCCGACGAUCAGUAGCCGACCUGAGAGGGUGACCGGCCACAUUGGGACUGAGACACGGCCCAAACUCCUACGGGAGGCAGCAGUGGGGAAUAUUGCACAAUGGGGGAAACCCUGAUGCAGCGACGCCGCGUGAGCGAUGAAGUAUUUCGGUAUGUAAAGCUCUAUCAGCAGGGAAGAAAAUGACGGUACCUGACGAAGAAGCACCGGCUAAAUACGUA
rnacentral:rRNA from 1 species